UUCCUUGUCUUGGAUCUUAGCCUUGACGUUAUCGAUGGUAUCAGAGCUCUCGACCUCGAGAGUUAUGGUCUUGCCGGUGAGUGUUUUCACGAAGAUCUGCAUGCUGGAAGGUUAUCAAGAAGAGGGUUUUUGUUGAGAAUCGUAGAAAAGAAAGGAUUUCGCUUAGUAAGAUGAAGAUGAGAUGAAAGGAGAGGAGAAGAAGCUUUAUAUAGCGGAAGUGGCCGACUCAAUGUAUUGGAAAUUCUUCCAGACAAAGGAAAAAAAGCUAGAAUUUAACGGUCAACAUUGAUUGCUGGACUGUAUUGGGAUGCGUUAGCUGGUAGGUUCAUGAUCAUGAUCAGGAACCUUCCAUGUAAUUACUCGACACUCGACUAU
rnacentral:misc_RNA from 1 species